AUUGCUUCUGGGCCUCUUGGCUAAGAUCAAGUGUAGUAUUUGCUUUUAGUAGUUGUCUGCUGUGGUCUGAAUCUGUCCCCUCUUCCUCCCAAAUUUACCUUUUGAAAUCCUAACCCUUU
ensembl:snRNA U2 U2 spliceosomal RNA